GCUAGAGAUGAUUCAUUGCCAUCUUAGGAUGACCCAAAGCAUACAAAAUGUUCAGCAUUGCUGGAGUGAGUGUGCGCUUCACUUCUGCAUGCCAAGAACUGUUACGUUGUUACAAUAUUCAUUUUGCAGCAGGUGACAGGUAACAGGUGGAAGUGACGAGUUCCAUGUCCCUUGUGUCCUGGUCCAGAAGCAGAGGUCACCUAGGAUUCCUUCUGACUUCCAAAGCUGCAAAUGGACUACAUUGGCAGGUAAGGACAUUCAUUGCUUUCUGCCUGCCUUUCUCAACUCCCUUGCUGAUGCUGCUGAACCACCAGUGAAGGCUUUCUCUGGCCAUUGUCUCUUCUUUUGUCACGAGCAGGGAGCUGGAUGGGAAGUGGAGCAGCUGGGACACAAACCGGCCACACACAAAUCGGAGGCCAUAUGAGAUCCCAGGUACAUGCAAGGCGA